CCGACCGGUCCUAACCGGUUUUGUUUGUAGUCUUGAACCGAACCGGUUCACCUUCAUACAGCGAAUCAGAUGGGUGUUUCGGGAAACCCAAACCUCCCACCCGCGGUGGGCACAUAAAUUUUUCUCUCUCUCUCUCUUUUGUUCAAUUUUCUGUCCCUUAACAAGAAUUUUUUUUUGGGUUCUUAUCAACAAUUGUUGAAUGGUUGAUUUUGUGCUUAUGGGGAAAACAGAAGGAUUCACCAAAAUAAAAAAUAGGGUGAUGAAUUUUUUGAUGAAAAAGAAAGAAACAGGUAAUCAAGGAAGCAAAGGCAGACCGAGUUGACCUCCUCUGGUGGUUUUUGGAUGGCGUUUGAUGGAUGAUCGUCCAUGGUAUCUACAUUUAAAAGCUUCCUUUCUUUUUUUAAUUUAUUAAUUUUUUUAUCAAUUUCUAUUGCAAACUUUCAAUUAAUUUAUAAUUUUUUACUAUUAAUCUCAUAGUUCUUUGUUUUUUUUUAGAUUAUUAUUCUGUCAAAUUUUUUAUCUGUCUCUUAUGUUCUAUUUUCUGUCCCUUAAGAAGAAAUCUUUUUUUGAGUACUUAUCAACAAUUGUUGAAUGAUUGAUUUUGUGUUUAUGGUAGAAAACAGAAUGAUUCAAAGAAAUAAAAAAUACGGGGAUGAAUUUUUUGCUGAAAGAAAGGAACAGGUAAUCGAUGAAGCAAAGGCAGACCCCCUCUUGCUUUUGGAUUUUGUCUUCGGUUGAUUUUUUCCUACUGUUUACUUUAACUGGCUGUUUCCAUGGGAUGACAAGACAGAGAAGAACAUAAUCUUUUGACGGUAUCUAUUUAUGCUUUCUUCUUCAUCACCAAGUUGUUUUGAAUUGUUAAAUGAAACUUAUUAACUAAACUUGCAGUUUUUUUUGGUAAAUGUACGACUGAAAGUAAUUGCUACAGAUGUUUAGUUGCCAACAAGCCAAUCUUGAUAAAGUAAGUAGUACUUGGAAAUCAGCACAUGGCAUUAGUUUGUCUUGAACCACAAAAAAAAAAAAAAGUGUUUGCAUAUUUUAGAAUAAGAUAACAUUUUAAAUAUUUUAAAUAAAAUAUGUCAAAACACAUUAAAUCUUUAUAAUUAAUUUGUAAUAAAAUAAUUUAGGUGAUAAUUAUGAGUCCAAAAUUUAUUUAGUUUAACAUAUAAAACCGGAGGAUUCACAAAAAUUAAAAGCUUUUGUGGUUUUUGGUUGACACUUGAUAGAUGAUCAACCACGGUAUUUCCAUUUAAAAGCUUUCUUCCUUUUUUAAAUUUAUUAAUUUUUUUAUCAAUUUCUGUUGCAAACUUUCAAAUAAUAUCUGAAGGUUUGGUUCAAGUUUGUGCUAUAGCAGGAUCCUUAGAUGUGUAUAAUCUCGGGUUCAAUUGUUCUCCAAUUUUCCUUCUCUGAUAGUUUUCUUCUUUGUCAAGGUGGCAGAAUAUCUCUCUUUCUGUGCUGAUGAAUUGACCCCCCCUCUGUUGGUUUUUGAAUGGCGUUUGAUAGAUGAUUUUUAGAUGUGUAUGACUCUCAGGUUCAAUUGUUCUCCAAUUUCCCUUCUCUGACAGUUUUCUUCUUUGUCAAGGUGGCAUAAUAUCUCUCUUUUUGUGCUGAUGAAUUGACCCCCCCCUUUGUUGGUUUUUGGAUGGCGUUUGAUAGAUAAUCAUCCACGGUAUUUACAUUUAAAAGCUUUCUUCAUUUUUUUUUUUAAAAUUUAUUAAUGUUUUUAUUAAUUUCUAUUCCAAACUUUUAAAUAAUAUCUGAAUGUUUGGUUUUUGGAUGGCGUUUGAUGGAUGAUCCUUAGAUGUGUAUGACUCUUAGGUUCAAUUGUUCUCCAAUUUCUCUUCUCUGACAGUUUUCUUCUUUGUCAAGGUGGCAUAAUAUCUCUCUUUCUGUGCUGAUGAAUUGACCUCCCCGUUUGUUGGUUUUUGGAUGGUGUUUGAUAGAUAUCCACGGUAUUUACAUUUAAAAGCUUUCUUCAUUUUUUUUUAAUUUAUUAAUAUUUUUAUCAAUUUCUAUUCCAAACUUUCAAAUAAUAUCUGAAUGUUUGGUUUAAGUUUGUGCUAUAACAGGAUCCUUAGAUGUGUAUGACUCUCAGGUUCAAUUGUUCUUCAAUUCCCCUCUCUGACAGUUUUCUUUUUUGUCAAGGUGGCAGAAUAUCUCUCUUUCAGUGCUGAUGAAUUGACCCCCCUCUGAUGGUUUUUGGAUGGCGUUUGAUAGACGAUCAUCCACGGUAUUUAUAUUUAAAAACCUUCUUCCUUUUUUUUUAAUUUAUUAAUGUUUUUAUCAAUUUCUAUUCCAAACUUUCAAAUAAUAUCUAAAUGUUUGGUUUAAGUUUGUGCUAUAGCAGGAUCCUUAGAUGUGUAUGACUCUCAGGUUCAAUUGUUCUCCAAUUUCUCCUCUCUGACAGUUUUCUUUUUUGUCAAGGUGGCAGAAUAUCUCUCUUUCAGUGUUGAUGAAUUAACCCUCCUCUGAUGGUUUUUGGAUGGUGUUUAAUAGAUGAUCAUCCACGGUAUUUACAUUUAAAAGCUUUCUUCCUUUUUUUUUUAAUUUAUUAAUGUUUUUAUCAAUUUCUAUUCCAAACUUUCAAAUAAUAUCUGAAUGUUUGGUUUAAGUUUGUGCUAUAUAGCAGGAUCCUUAGAUGUGUAUGACUCUCAGGUUCAAUUGUUCUCCAAUUUUCCUCAUAUGACAGUUUUCUUCUUUGUCAAGGUGGCAGAAUAUCUCUCUUUCUGUGCUGAUGCUUUGUUAAUUUUUUGCUGUAUUAGUUUAGUCUCUGAACUUUGUCUUUUUGUUCUACUUUAAAAGUGAUUGAUUGCUUGCAAUUUUACCAAGUAGAAGAGCUCCUUGCUGCCCUCCCAUUCUCUCUUUUUUGCUUUUCUUGACUGAUACUUUAGAGGGUCAUUUUGCUAAAUUUCAAGUUUCAGAACUUCUCUCUUUCCCGGGCCCUGCAUCCCCCUCGCAUGUCUAUAUGAUUUUCUUUUCCUCUCAUCUUUGGUUGAUUUUUUCUUACUGUUUACUUUAACAGCCGUUUUCAUGGGAUGACAGACCAGUGUGACUUACCUCAUCUUCUAGUACUAGGCUACACGAUUAGAAUAUUUUCCCGCAUUGUUUAUCAAUAAUUUGAAUUCUUUUUCUCUUUCUGAUAUAUGCUCUAUGCAUGCACAAAGAAAGGGGAGAAUGGUUAGAUGUGUUGUUCCGAUAUUUGCUUUAGUUGUUUCUAUGACGUGAUUGGACUAUAAUUGACCGUGUACUACAUUUCAGUUGAUUGAGCAGACUGGAGUAAUUGAGGGCCCUUGAUUAUUUUACAGAGAUGUCCCUGCUGUUAUUACAACUUCUGUGGUCAAAUGGUAUCUCCAAGUUAUUUCCAGUCUAAAAAGUUUCUUUUGUGUUGCUAGAAUUUUGCACUUGGUAUUCUGCUGUGUUUUAUAUAAGUUAUUAUUGGUAUUUUCCUUCUUGUUCGUGGAAAACUUGUUGGGUGACGAUUUAUUAUCCCUUCUGUACAAGUCAUCCCCAGUUAUGUGCUUUUUACUAGUCUUUGAAAUUUGGAACAUUUUGGUUGCCUUAGGUAUAACUCAAGAUUUUUGUCCUGCCAGGUUUAUUAGCUUAGAUUUUGCAUCUGGUGUGGCUGAAAAGUUUGUUUGUUGCUGUCUGUAAGGCAAGCCUUUUGGUGUUUGUGUGUAUGGAAAAUGUUGUGUGUACCAUAAAUAUUCUGUGAUGGCCAGUAGAUAUGCUCCCAAAUUUCUUUCUCUGACAACUCUAGAUACUAGAUUGGAAUCUUUACUUUUCUGCAUUUUGAUGUUUUGUUCAGGUUUGUGCUAUAGCAAGAUCCUUGGAUGUCUAUGAAUCUUGGGUACAAUUGUUUUCCAGUUUCCCUUGCCUGACAGUUUUAUUCUUUGUCGUUUUAUUCUUUGUCAAUGUGGCAGAAUCUCUCUCUUUUUUGUGCCGGUGCUUGGUUAAUUUUAAAAUCUUUCUUCCUUUUUUUUAAAAAAUUUAUUAAUGUUUUGGUAGAAAAACAGAAGGAUUCACCGAAAUGAAAAAUAGGGUGAUGAAUUUUUUGAUAAAAAGGAAAGGAACAGGUAAUCAAUGAAGCAAAGGCAGAGCGACUUGAACCCCCUCUUGUUGUUUUUGGGUGUUCGAUAGGUGAUCAUUCAUGGUAUUUACAUUUAAAAGUUUCUUUCUUUUUUUUUUAAUUUAUUAAUUUUUUUUAUUAAUUUAUUUUACAAACUUUUAAAUAAUAUUGGAUUUUUUAUUAUUGACUUUAUAGUUUUUUUUUUUUUAAAUUAUUCUAUGAAAUUCUCUCUCUCUCUCUCUUUUGUUCUAUUUUCUGUUCCUUAAGAAAACAAUUCUUUUGGGUGCUUAUCAACAAGUGUUGAAUGGUUGAUUUUGUAUUUAUGGGAGAAAGCGGAAGGAUUCACCAAAAUUAAAAAUAGGGAGAUGAAUUUUUCGGAUGAAAGUGCUAGUGUGGAAAUCCGCAUUAAGGGGCCAUCCACGUGAUAGGAGAUCGGACGAUCCUGAUCCUCUCACGUGUGUCCUAUCAAAUGGUUGGAAUUCACUCCCCCCAUUCGCGAUCGAACGGUCGCUAUGGAAUCCCGCCCAAAAGUGAUGAACGGUUGGACUUCCCACACCCCAAGGUGAUCAAACGGCCUAGAUUGCUUAUCUAACGAUCAGGACUUUAGGAAAGAUCGAAAGACCAAAAUAGCCUUAAUGAAGCCCUUGAUCCAAUGAUCAAUAUUUGAGGAAUAACGAUUGGGCAGUCGAGAUUCACUUUCGGACAUGAAACGACGAAAGUUUCCUGGGACGAGCAGAAAGAUCAUGCGGUAGAGAUCUGACGGCCGUGGAGGGGCCAAUUUAAGGAGUCUUAUUAAGGCUCUUCAUCUCACUUGUGAGAGGUGAGGCUGUGGAAUAGCGAUCUCGCCGGUGAGAGGGGAUGGCCGAGAUCGCAUUGUGGCAUCUCGACAGAAAAGGAAUUCAAAUGAGAUUGCACGGUGGCGAUCUCGAACGGGAAGUGGGUAGAGGUAGAUCGCACGGUGGCGAUCUCCAUGAGAAAAGGAAUACAAGCAGCGGAAACCGCAAGCCAAGGAGCGGAGAAGAGUGAGCGGCUUGAGCUACAACUGAAAGAUGAAGAAGGUGUCGCAUGCGCACUGUUGCCGCUGCGUGCGAGUGUGGGAAUGGGCUUACGGGAAACCGCAAACCGGUCGUGUGCGUGCAAAAUCCGAGCGCCGUAGAUGCAUGUACGACUUGGGAAGGUUGGGAUGCGGUUUUGACCGCAUGAGCGUGAGGUGGCGAGGCCUAGUAUGCAGUGAGGCUGAGCAGCUUUGGCCAUGGAUGCAUCUACGACUUGGGAAGGUUGGGAUAUAGUUCCGACCGCAUGAGCGUGCGGGGGAUUGCGUGUGAAACUGGUGGUGUGCGUGCGAAAUUCGAGUGCGGGGUGAGGCUGAGCAGCUUCGGCUGUGGAUGCAUGUAUGACUUGGGAAGGUUGGGUUGCGGUUUCGACCGCCCGAGCGGGUUUGGCCGUGGAUGCAUGUACGACUUGGGAAGGUUGGGAUGCGGUUCCGACCGCAUGAGCAUGUGGUGGUGAGGCCGAGUGCCUGCGAUGCGCGAAUGGUUCUAGUGUCGCCAUGGAUGGGUGAGUGUGGGUCGGGGAAGCGGAGAAUCGAACUAGACCGGUGGCGAGGUGGAGUGAACGCCGCUACCCAAGCCCUCUUGCCGCCGCUUGCGGCAAUUUUUCUCUCAUGUUUUUCCGCUUGAACCGAUUGGUUCUAACCGGUUUUGUUUGUGGUCUUGAACUGAACCAGUUCACCCUCCAUCCCCUGAACUAUAUGGAUGUUACCCAAAGCUCCGAUCCGUGGUAAGCACAUAAAUUUUUCUUUCACUCUCUCUUUUGUUCUAUUAUUUAUCCCUUAAAAUUUUUUUUUGUUUGGGUUCUUAUCAACAAUUGUUGAAUAGUUGAUUUUGUGCUUAUGGGGGGGGGAAACAAAGGGAUCCACAUAAAUGAAAAAUAGGGUGAUGAAUUUUUUUAUGAAAAAGAAAGAAACAGGUAACCAAGGAAGCCAAGGCAGCCCGAGUUGACCCCCUCUUGUGGUUUU
rnacentral:lncRNA from 1 species